GACGAACGCUGGCGGCGUGCCUAACACAUGCAAGUCAACUUGACUGAAGGAGCAAUCUGACAGUAGAGUGGCGCAAGGGUGCGUAACGCGUAAGUAACUUGCCCCAAGGUAAGGAAUAACGUCGAGAAAUCGGCGCUAAUACCUCAUAAUGCAGCGGAUCCGCAUGGAUAUGUUGUUAAAGGUUUACCGCCUUGGGAUAGGCUUGCGUCUGAUUAGCUAGUUGGUGUGGUAACGGCACACCAAGGCUACGAUCAGUAACUGGUCUGAGAGGAUGAUCAGUCACACUGGAACUGAGACACGGUCCAGACUCCUACGGGAGGCAGCAGUGAGGAAUAUUGGGCAAUGCUCGAAAGAGUGACCCAGCAACGCCGCGUGGAGGAUGAAGGUAUUCUAUCUCGUAAACUCCUGUGAGAGCAGACGAAAGACAGAUUAUUAAUCUGGAUGACUGUAUGCU
rnacentral:rRNA from 1 species